AUUCCUUGUCGGGUAAGUUCCGACCUGCACGAAUGGCGUAAUGAUGGCCAGGCUGUCUCCACCCGAGACUCAGUGAAAUUGAACUCGCUGUGAAGAUGCAGUGUACCCGCGGCAAGACGGAAAGACCCCGUGAACCUUUACUAUAGCUUGACACUGAACACUGGUCCUUGAUGUGUAGGAUAGGUGGGAGGCUUUGAAGUGUGGACGCCAGUCUGCAUGGAGCCGUCCUUGAAAUACCACCCUUUAAUGGCUGGUGUUCUAACGUAGACCCGUAAUCCGGGUUGCGGACAGUGUCUGGUGGGUAGUUUGACUGGGGCGGUCUCCUCCCAAAGAGUAACGGAGGAGCACGAAGGUUAGCUAAUCCUGGUCGGACAUCAGGAGGUUAGUGCAAUGGCAUAAGCUAGCUUGACUGCGAGAGUGACGGCUCGAGCAGGUGCGAAAGCAGGUCAUAGUGAUCCGGUGGUUCUGAAUGGAAGGGCCAUCGCUCAACGGAUAAAAGGUACUCCGGGGAUAACAGGCUGAUACCGCCCAAGAGUUCAUAUCGACGGCGGUGUUUGGCACCUCGAUGUCGGCUCAUCACAUCCUGGGGCUGAAGUAGGUCCCAAGGGUAUGGCUGUUCGCCAUUUAAAGUGGUACGCGAGCUGGGUUUAGAACGUCGUGAGACAGUUCGGUCCCUAUCUGCCGUGGGCGCUGGAGAAUUGAGGGGGGCUGCUCCUAGUACGAGAGGACCGGAGUGGACGCAUCACUGGUGUUCGGGUUGUCAUGCCAAUGGCACUGCCCGGUAGCUAAAUGCGGAAGAGAUAAGUGCUGAAAGCAUCUAAGCACGAAACUUGCCCCGAGAUGAGUUCUCCCUGAGCCUUUAAGGCUCCUGAAGGAACGUUGAAGACGACGACGUUGAUAGGUCGGGUGUGUAAGCGCAGCGAUGCGUUGAGCUAACCGAUACUAAUGAACCGUGAGGCUUAACCUUACAACGCCGAAG
rnacentral:rRNA from 1 species